rnacentral:rRNA from 1 species
UGCAAGUCGAGCGGCAGCGACUUAACUGAACCUUUGGGGAACGUUAAGGGCGGCGAGCGGCGGACGGGUGAGUAAUGCCUGGGAAUAUGCCCUGAUGUGGGGGAUAACUAUUGGAAACGAUAGCUAAUACCGCAUAAUCUCUUCGGAGCAAAGAGGGGGACCUUCGGGCCUCUCGCGUCAGGAUUAGCCCAGGUGGGAUUAGCUUGUUGGUGAGGUAAUGGCUCACCAAGGCAACGAUCCCUAGCUGGUCUGAGAGGAUGAUCAGCCACACUGGAACUGAGACACGGUCCAGACUCCUACGGGAGGCAGCAGUGGGGAAUAUUGCACAAUGGGGGAAACCCUGAUGCAGCCAUGCCGCGUGUGUGAAGAAGGCCUUCGGGUUGUAAAGCACUUUCAGUAGGGAGGAAGGUAGUGUAGUUAACACCUGCAUUAUUUGACGUUACCUACAGAAGAAGCACCGGCUAACUCCGUGCCAGCAGCCGCGGUAAUACGGAGGGUGCGAGCGUUAAUCGGAAUUACUGGGCGUAAAGCGCAUGCAGGCGGCCUGUUAAGUCAGAUGUGAAAGCCCGGGGCUUAACCUCGGAAUUGCAUUUGAAACUGGCAGGCUAGAGUCCCUG